rnacentral:rRNA from 1 species
AAAUUGAAGAGUUUGAUCAUGGCUCAGAUUGAACGCUGGCGGCAGGCCUAACACAUGCAAGUCGAACGGUAACAGGAAGCAGCUUGCUGCUUCGCUGACGAGUGGCGGACGGGUGAGUAAUGUCUGGGAAACUGCCUGAUGGAGGGGGAUAACUACUGGAAACGGUGGCUAAUACCGCAUAACGUCGCAAGACCAAAGAGGGGGACCUUCGGGCCUCUUGCCAUCAGAUGUGCCCAGAUGGGAUUAGCUAGUUGGUGAGGUAACGGCUCACCAAGGCGACGAUCCCUAGCUGGUCUGAGAGGAUGACCAGCCACACUGGAACUGAGACACGGUCCAGACUCCUACGGGAGGCAGCAGUGGGGAAUAUUGCACAAUGGGCGCAAGCCUGAUGCAGCCAUGCCGCGUGUAUGAAGAAGGCCUUCGGGUUGUAAAGUACUUUCAGCGGGGAGGAAGGUGUUGUGGUUAAUAACCGCAGCAAUUGACGUUACCCGCAGAAGAAGCACCGGCUAACUCCGUGCCAGCAGCCGCGGUAAUACGGAGGGUGCAAGCGUUAAUCGGAAUUACUGGGCGUAAAGCGCACGCAGGCGGUCUGUCAAGUCGGAUGUGAAAUCCCCGGGCUCAACCUGGGAACUGCAUUCGAAACUGGCAGGCUUGAGUCUUGUAGAGGGGGGUAGAAUUCCAGGUGUAGCGGUGAAAUGCGUAGAGAUCUGGAGGAAUACCGGUGGCGAAGGCGGCCCCCUGGACAAAGACUGACGCUCAGGUGCGAAAGCGUGGGGAGCAAACAGGAUUAGAUACCCUGGUAGUCCACGCCGUAAACGAUGUCUACUUGGAGGUUGUGCCCUUGAGGCGUGGCUUCCGGAGCUAACGCGUUAAGUAGACCGCCUGGGGAGUACGGCCGCAAGGUUAAAACUCAAAUGAAUUGACGGGGGCCCGCACAAGCGGUGGAGCAUGUGGUUUAAUUCGAUGCAACGCGAAGAACCUUACCUGGUCUUGACAUCCACGGAAGUUUUCAGAGAUGGAAUGGUGCCUUCGGGAACCGUGAGACAGGUGCUGCAUGGCUGUCGUCAGCUCGUGUUGUGAAAUGUUGGGUUAAGUCCCGCAACGAGCGCAACCCUUAUCCUUUGUUGCCAGCGAUUAGGUCGGGAACUCAAAGGAGACUGCCAGUGAUAAACUGGAGGAAGGUGGGGAUGACGUCAAGUCAUCAUGGCCCUUACGACCAGGGCUACACACGUGCUACAAUGGCGCAUACAAAGAGAAGCGACCUCGCGAGAGCAAGCGGACCUCAUAAAGUGCGUCGUAGUCCGGAUUGGAGUCUGCAACUCGACUCCAUGAAGUCGGAAUCGCUAGUAAUCGUGGAUCAGAAUGCCACGGUGAAUACGUUCCCGGGCCUUGUACACACCGCCCGUCACACCAUGGGAGUGGGUUGCAAAAGAAGUAGGUAGCUUAACCUUCGGGAGGGCGCUUACCACUUUGUGAUUCAUGACUGGGGUGAAGUCGUAACAAGGUAACCGUAGGGGAACCUGCGGUUGGAUCACCUCCUUACCUUAAAGAA